rnacentral:rRNA from 1 species
AAUUUUCCGCAAUGGGCGAAAGCCUGACGGAGCAACGCCGCGUGAGGGAUGAAGGCCUCUGGGCUGUAAACCUCUUUUCUCAAGGAAGAAGAUCUGACGGUACUUGAGGAAUAAGCCACGGCUAAUUCCGUGCCAGCAGCCGCGGUAAUACGGGAGUGGCAAGCGUUAUCCGGAAUUAUUGGGCGUAAAGCGUCCGCAGGCGGCCUUGUAAGUCUGUCGUUAAAGCGUGGAGCUUAACUCCAUUUCAGCGAUGGAAACUGCAAGGCUUGAGUGUGGUAGGGGCAGAGGGAAUUCCCGGUGUAGCGGUGAAAUGCGUAGAUAUCGGGAAGAACACCAGUGGCGAAGGCGCUCUGCUGGGCCAUAACUGACGCUCAUGGACGAAAG